rnacentral:rRNA from 1 species
UAAGGAAUAUUGGUCAAUGGACGCAAGUCUGAACCAGCCAUGCCGCGUGAAGGAUGAAGGUCCUCUGGAUUGUAAACUUCUUUUAUUUGGGAAGAAACCCACGAUUUCCAUUGUGGUUGACGGUACCAGAUGAAUAAGCACCGGCUAACUCCGUGCCAGCAGCCGCGGUAAUACGGAGGGUGCAAGCGUUAUCCGGAUUCACUGGGUUUAAAGGGUGCGUAGGCGGGCAGGUAAGUCAGUGGUGAAAUCUCCGGGCUUAACCCGGAAACUGCCGUUGAUACUAUCUGUCUUGAAGAUAGUGGAGGUGAGCGGAAUAUGUCAUGUAGCGGUGAAAUGCUUAGAUAUGACAUAGAACACCCAUUGCGAAGGCAGCUCGCUACACUAUUAUUGACGCUGAGGCACGAAAGCGUGGGGAUCAAACA